UACGUAGGGUGCGAGCGUUGUCCGGAAUUACUGGGCGUAAAGAGCUCGUAGGUGGUUUGUCGCGUUGUUCGUGAAAUCUCACGGCUUAACUGUGAGCGUGCGGGCGAUACGGGCAGACUAGAGUACUGCAGGGGGAGACUGGAAUUCCUGGUGUAGCGGUGGAAUGCGCAGAUAUCAGGAGGAACACCGGUGGCGAGGGCGGGUCUCUGGGCAGUAACUGACGCUGAGGAGCGAAAGCGUGGGGGAGCGAACAGG
rnacentral:rRNA from 1 species